UACAGAGGUGGCAAGCGUUGUUCGGAAUUACUUGGCGUAAAGGGCGCGUAGUCGGUCGGGCAAGUCCUGUGUGAAAUCCCUCGGCUCAACUGAGGAACUGCACGGGAAACUGCCUGGCUUGAGUUCGGGAGAGGGAAGCGGAAUUCCGGGUGUAGCGGUGAAAUGCGUAGAUAUCCGGAGGAACACCGGUGGCGAAGGCGGCGUUCUGGACUGCAACUGACACUGAGGAACGAAAGCCAGGGGAGCAAACGGG
rnacentral:rRNA from 1 species